AUUGAACGCUGGCGGCAGGCCUAACACAUGCAAGUCGAACGAGUGGCGGACGGGUGAGUAAUGUCUGGGGAACUGCCUGAUGGAGGGGGAUAACUACUGGAAACGGUAGCUAAUACCGCAUACCAUCGGAUGUGCCCAGAUGGGAUUAGCUUGUUGGUGGGGUAAAGGCUCACCUAGGCGACGAUCCCUAGCUGGUCUGAGAGGAUGACCAGCAACACUGGAACUGAGACACGGGCCAGACUCCUACGGGAGGCAGCAGUGGGUAAUAUUGCACAAUGGGCGCAAGCCUGAUGCAGCCAGGCCGCGUGUAUGAAGAAGGCCUUAGGGUUGUAAAGUACUUUCAGCGGGGAGGCGUGACCCGCAGAAGAAGCACCGGCUAACUCCGUGCCAGCAGCCGCGGUAAUAC
rnacentral:rRNA from 1 species